ensembl:lncRNA
GGGCGGGGCCGGCUCCAGGAGGUGUGCGGCGCGCAGGCGCGGGUUCUCUGGGACUGGGCGCUGGGCUCGCAGGGGUUUCCGGCGGUCGGAGCCAGGCGCUGGGCGCACUGCGUCCUCCGUUUCUCCUCGGGAUGCACGCGCAGGUCGGCCCAGGGCACGUCGGCUCACAGGGCCGGGGGUCGGCGGACAGGGCGCGAGCCGGGCGACCUGGCCCGACCCCCCUCGGAGACCUCGUCCCCUGACCGAUGCUUCGAGAACCUUCCCCAGAUCAGCCGCCUCUGGAAGCCGCCAGGAGCAUUCUGCCUCGCGCUGACUGAAAGCCAGAGUCCCUGCAGCGCCUGACCCCUGGCUCCCCAAACUUCCUGCUUCCGCCUCCAAGAGCUCAGAACCAGCUGGGCCUCGGGACGGGAUUCCUGACGCCAACUGCAGGCUUGGGGUCUGCAGAAUGGAUGACCCUCAGGUUUGCCAGUCUCCUGGGAGUGGUCACAGUGCAAGCAAGGGCUCAGUCAGGCUGACUGGCGUCCUUCAUAAGGACUUGAAGACACAAAGGUGAUCACAGGGACACGGAGGACGGUGGCCACCCACAAGCCAAGGAGAGGCCUCAGGAGCAACCAAACCAGCUGACACCUUGACCUUGCACUCCCAGCCUCCAGACUGUGAAGCUGGCCUCUGCGCCUCCACACAGGAGCCUACUGCUGAAGCUGCCUGGUCUGCAGGGCUUUGUUUGGCGAGCGCGGCAAGCAAACAGCCUGGGCUUUAGGGACAGAGACCAAGAGCUGUCCUCCAAAAGGCCCCCCUGACAGCAGCCUGCAGGGGUCUUGGAGGCUGGCGCCCUCGGCCAGGCGAGGGACGAAGCUGUGGUGCCUUGAGGUCUACAGUCUGAGCGGCUGAUGGCUUCCUGGGUGACAGUCAAGCCUGUUAGAAGUAGCUGCUGUUGGCAUAGCAACCAGGAGCCAUCUUGCGUACUUUCCAGAUUAAAAAAGCUCCCUGCUUCAGGACUGAGGGGACAAAGAUGUAAAAGCGGAGAUGAAAUUGAGUUACUGACGGGAGCGGUUGCCAUGGCGCCCUGUUGGCCUUGGAGCGGGCCAGCUGCUGCGGGGGGUCCCUCCCUUCUCGGGGCAGAUGAGGGUUUGAGAGGCGGUGAAGAUCAGCACCCCACAGUGCGGGAGGGAAAGAGAAGGUGUGCUUUAACUGGAGAGGGGAGUGAAUAAUGGGAACUCAUAUUUUGAGAAUAACUAUACGGCCAAUAUACAGAGCUGCUCAAAAUCUAAAGUCUCUGGCUGAGAAUUUGUUUAAAAUGUUUGCUGACAAGCAGUGUGUCUGAGGUGGGGUCUGAGGUCCCGCAUCUGAAUGUUGGACUGUGGGGAAAGACACUUCCACCC